rnacentral:rRNA from 1 species
UACCGGCUCUCCGAGUGGUAGGGAUGAUUAUUGGGCUUAAAGCGUCCGUAGCCGGCUUAGCAAGUCUCCUGUUAAAUUCAGCGACCUAAUCGUUGAGCCGCGGGAGAUACUACUAGGCUAGGAGGCGGGAGAGGUCAACGGUACUUCCGGGGUAGGGGUGAAAUCCUAUAAUCCCGGGAGGACCACCAGUGGCGAAAGCUGUUGACUAGAACGCGCUCGACGGUGAGGGACGAAAGCUGGGGGAGCGAACCGGAUUAGAUACCCGGGUAGUCCCAGCUGUAAACGAUGCGAGCUAGGUGUUGGGGUGGCUACGUGCCACUUCAGUGCCGCAGGGAAGCCAUUAAGCUCGCCGCCUGGGGAGUACGGCCGCAAGGCUGAAACUUAAAGGAAUUGGCGGGGGAGCACCACAAGGCGUGAAGCUUGCGGUUC